AAUCACUUGUCUUUUAAAUGAAGACCUGUAUGAAUGGCACCACGAGGACUUAGCUGUCUCCUCUCUCCCGUCAGUAAAAUUGACCUGCCCGUGCAGAGGCGGGCACACCCCCACAAGACGAGAAGACCCUGUGGAGCUUUAGGCCUAAGAAAGAGGAUAUCAAGCUAGAAACAGCAGCAGCCCACCUUUCCUAAUGCCUUUGGUUGGGGCGACCACGGAGAUAAGACAAACCCCCGCGUGGACUGAGAGACCCCUCCCCCUCUUAAAACCAAGAGCCACCCCUCUAAGCACCAGAAUAUCUGACCACUAAUGACCCGGCCCUGCCGAUAAACGAACCCAGUUACCCCAGGGAUAACAGNGNAA
rnacentral:rRNA from 1 species